GCUCUCUUCAGCAGCACAUACUAAACUUGGGAUGAUACAGAGAUUAGCACAACCCCGUGCAAGGAUGACGGGCAAAUUAAAAAAGCGGUCCAUCUCUGG
rnacentral:snRNA from 1 species